GGGACGAACGCUGGCGGCGUGCUUAACACAUGCAAGUCGAGCGGUAAGGCCUUUCGGGGUACACGAGCGGCGAACGGGUGAGUAACACGUGGGUGAUCUGCCCUGCACUCUGGGAUAAGCCUGGGAAACUGGGUCUAAUACCGGAUAUGACCUGCUCUCGCAUGGGGGGUGGUGGAAAGAUUUAUCGGUGCAGGAUGGGCCCGCGGCCUAUCAGGCUUGGUUGGUGGGUAAUGGCCUACCAAGGCGACGACGGUA
rnacentral:rRNA from 1 species